CAGAAGUAUUUAAGUGACUUGCCUGAGCCACUCCACUAAGUAACCAGAGUUGGGAUUUUAAAGCCUGCUCAACUGACCCCAGGGCCUAUGCUUUCUGCACUAUACUGUACUGUCCCUUACUUCUCCAUUCUCUGGUCAUCACUGCAUGAGCUGAAGUAAGAAGGUGCGGUGUUGUCUCAACUGACCUCAGUUCUGCCUCUUCUUCUGAACUGUGAAGGUAUGGGCCAUGCCUGACUCACCUUUGAAUUUUCCAGAGGCAGUAUCAUGCUACUACGGUCAGGAAAGAACUUGAAGUUGACUUAGCCACAGGACAUGAGAAUUGAACACUUAAGUCAAAUAUCCAGCUUAUUUGGUUACAUUGCUAAACAUAAGAAAAUCCAUCCUGUGUCUACAGAAAUGAACAUCCCCUCCCAUGAACCCUAAUAAAUAUCUGGAAGAUCUCAAGGAAUGAACCUUGGCUGACCCGUUUGUGCACAUCUUUGAAUUCCCUCCCUUCUGCACUUUUUGUGGAACUGGAAGUAUUCAAAAGCAACAAUACCAUCAUUCAGAACUUCUGGCUCCCUGAGGACUAGACCUGAGCCAUGGCCAGCAAACACCCUUUAGAAUCAGACCAGUGGACCAGGCAAACACUCUAAGGAGCUGCUUUUCUUCAGCCCUUCUGAGCUGGGGGAAAGAAGGACCCCACGUCUGAUACACCAGUGACCGUUGCCAUCUGGCCACCGAAGAGAGUGUCCCCUCUAUAGGGACUGCUUAGCGUCCAGACGCACACCAAGACCUGAGGUAUCAUCUUUGGCAGUGGGCAGGAAAUACCAAGGAACUUCCUUCAUGGGCCCUUGGAUGCCCCCCAGAGACUCAUGGUCACCCUCACGUCAUAGGACAAGAAAGAGUUCAGCCUACAGAGACUGUGGACUUUCAGCCCUUCCCCUCUCAGCCAUCCCACUCAGAGCCCAAGAGCUCAUCGACUCCUCAUUCUACUGGGCAUCCCUGCAGUGAGACAGUUCCCGUGGACACCAAGCUGACACCACCCUCACAGCUUUGAGCAUUCCGAGUUUUUCAUCACUCCAUGGAUCCAGAUAGAGCCACUGAAGUUAAAUAUGGCUGGGAAGAGAAAGAUGAGACAGGAAAUGAAAGAGCUUCUCCAGUCUCCGCAGAAAUGUCGGCUCUUGGACGGACGCCUUCAUCACCCUGUGCCUCACCAGCAGCCAUAAACGUGAGAGCCUUCCAGUGAUAGGAGAUUCAUCCUUCCAUCUAUCCACCCAGUUAUCCAUCCAUCAAAUUCCUCCACCUCUCCCAUGCCUCAGCAUCUUGCCAAGCAUUCUUUCCCAUCUCUACACCUCCAGUCUUCACGGGGGUCCCCGUGUCAAUGACCCCACUGUCAAAGUACUGGCUUACUUGCAUCAGUGGAAGAUUCUUGAGUCACAUGUCAUUACUCAAACUGGAUGAAGCAAAGACCCACAGGUAGAAAUUUAGAGGUCAAAAGAAUGUCAUCAGCAUUUGAAAUCUCAACUCUCCACUGUGUGGUCUUCAUUCUCAGCUUCACCUUAGGGAGCCCCCAGAUACAGGUCUUUUGCAUGGUAAACCAAGCCUCAGUCUCAAACUUUUUUUUAUCAGGAAACCCAAGAUCAGCUAGCUCCCUUUCUGUUCUGCAAUGCCUUCAGCCUCAUGUGAUUCCUCACUUUCCUCAGGCAGAGAAACAGCUCUUAGGAAAAUGGCCAGGAAUGAGUCAUAGCUCAAGACAGGGGGUGUGGGUUAUAAUCUCAACUCUGUUACUUCUCUGUUUUGUGUUCUUGAACAAUUUGGUUUUUUUCUCCCUGGGCCUCAAUUUCCUAAUCUGGAGAAUGUCAUGAUCUCUGUGAAGCUUUCCCCAAGCAAGUGCCCCUCCCUUACUUGAACUAGUCACUUCUUCCCCAAAUACUCACAACACACUGUCCUGCAUUUAUCCUGACAUACCACAUCCUAGAGGAGUAGCUCCUGGAAAGCAGAAAUUUCUCUUGUAGCCCUAGGCCAGGACACAGUAAGUAUAGAAUAUCUCCUUCACUGGUAUGAUCAGGAGAUCCCCAUAGCUCUCCUGAUCUUUGAAAUCACAUGAUUAACCUGGUCAUUCUACCCCAAGCUGGAUUUAUUCCUAACUGGCUGGACCAAUGCCCUCUGCAUUCUUUCUUUCUCUGAAGCAGCUCUCAAAACCCAGUCUCUAUCUUUGAGCUUUUUCAGACUAACUGACCUCUUCCAUCUUCACAACAAAUUUAGGUCCCUCUGCGUUACUCACUGCAUGCCAUAUGACCCCAGGUAGUCUUUCUUUUUGCUGGUGUGCUCUGAAAAUGCCAUUAUUGUGACCCAAUCUUGCCAGUCUUUCCAUUUUCAAGCCUCCAAGCCUGAUGAUUGCAGAAUCAUCUUGGCUUGCAAGGUGCCAGAAAUCAAGGGCUGUCGAUCCAUCUAGACAGUGCCCCAAGCAUACAGCUGUCUCAUAAAUGCUUUUAGGGAUAAUGAAUGGUAAUGACAUUCACAUUGAUUAUGUUAUAAUAUUCUGCAGCGUAUGUUCCAGAUGAGCACAAGGGUCAAUUUAAAAAGCCCAAUUCAGUGAUGAUCAGUGGAAGACGGCACCUCACAAAUAUGGGAGGGGGCUUGUAUUUGGAAAGAACAUAUUCAAUAUGAUCAUAUUAUGUUACAUAUUUAGAAAAUGUAAAACAACAACAACAACACAUUAUUUGAAACACAAACUAGGGACGCCUAGGUG